rnacentral:lncRNA from 7 species
GCACGUGCUGAAUCCACCCUCAGCCUCCACCACCCGCAGGCUUUUCUGCCUCACGAUAAGCUAUUUUGUGACGGCAGGGAGCAGCAGCAAGAAACGAAACAAACGCUCCCGUUCACCCUGACAGCCAGAAGCACCCAUUCAAUAGGAUCAUCGCUGAGCGAACUAAGAUCACUGCAGGAUACCUGACAACUUCUACAGCUCAAUCCCCAAAAAAAUUAACACCAAGAUAGCCAGUACAACUACUGGAAAAAUAUAACUUAAUUGGUUGCUAACAAACCUUGUCCAGAGUAGAGCAACACAAAGCCACAGAUUCAGCAAUCUUUCAGAGGUGCAACAAGUAAGGCAUUAACAUCCAGACCACCUCUCUGCGUAGACUGCUUCCUACAGCACGUCUUCUGGGGCCACAAGGAAGGAAAUCGGAAGGAGCAUCAGACCCAAGGAGACCCAAUCACAUGAAAAAGUAGUCCUUCCAUUCGCAUUAAAACACCCUUUCCCCUGACCUUACAGGUAUUGCGUGUAGUAAUACAAGGUUUUGGAGUUCAAAGCUUUGAUUGGUUGUUACUCCUCUAAAUGUCUCCUGUCCCAUCUACAAGUACAAGGCGUUCAUUGCCAUGACCACUGGUCACCACCAAGAAGCUCUGCAGAUCUCUUUAGCCUACGUCUAAGAAUUGUCUGAACCCUGUUAUUCAACACCGACUUGUUUGCAGAAGUUUACCCAACAGAUUGCUUUGACAUUUGUUAGCCUAGGGCAAAAACCUUCGGGUACACAACCGAUGAAGGCGUUUCAAAAACACAUAGCGACAUUUGUUGGUUUUAUUUCUCUUAUUACAGAGUUGAACAAUUGCAACCAAGAAGUCCUGGUGACCCCACACAGAAUUACAGGUUCUAAACCACAGCUGAGCACCUGGUUUAUGGGCAGAAUUUGGAGCAGGACCAAGGGCGUGCUUGCUCUCCGUGACCAUGAACAUUAAGCCAUACCCAGAAUGCAAACCAAGCAGGCUGCAAGGUGUAAGUCACUGUGUAACUACACAACAUACUCAAAACUUAAGGACACUGAGACUUGUUGGUAGUUCGGGAUUAGAAUAUGAACAAUGGUAAUCAGUUACGACUUGAAUACUCACUUUCAACUUCAAUAACUCAUCCUGAAAAACACAUACCUUCCGCUCAUUGUGAUUCAGCUCAUAGGUCAAGAAUUGUCCCUGGCCAUUUUUCUGCCCAAACAGUGGAAAUGCCGUGUGCUGAAACCCGAGUUUAAACUUCCAAGAAAUGAAACCACUAGAACCUCAAGUUUCCUCUUCCCUCUUUUUCAGUCAUGUGCCCGUAUCUGAGUGGAGCUCAACCAUGUCAAGCCGUUCAGUGCUGACUACAUUUCAAUCAGCUGUCUCUGGUGAGAAAGAACAGAGACAGUUGUUUCAACUACUCGGGAUUUAUUAAUAGUUUUGAAAAUUAUUCAAGCAUGCUGCAUUUUGUGACAGAUCUUUAUAAUUUAUUAUCUGUGUAGUAAUUUUCCUGACAGCUCAUUGAGCAGCGGUGCAGAGGACUGUUUCUUGUGCAAACAAUGGACUUCAAGAACAUUUGAAAAGUCAUCUUUUGAUUCAUCCCCAAAGUAGUGCAGAGCUGUACACCGGAUCUACGUGCUUCUGAGAGCAGCUGACAACUGCUACAACAGAAACAUGGGGAGCAGAAUAAGGAACUGCACCCAAGAAUCUCCAAGCAAUUUACUAACUUCAGUUCAUUUUCAUACAUCUCAGAAGCAGUUAUAAACGCAACUGAUGAGCUAUGGCUUCGUUCUAUUGUUGGCUUAAAGUUAUAUAGGAAUAUGUAUUUAUAAAAAUCCAAUAAGAGUCAGGAAUAGAAUAGAAUAUUGAUUCUUCCAGUAACAAGGUACUUGGGAAGGAAGGAAAAGAUGUUAUUUAUUUUGGUUUGGCUGUUCUGCUGGUACUCCUUGUUCUAGGAAAAUGGAGUCCAUAAAGUUUUCAGCUU